AGCGAACGCUGGCGGCAGGCCUAACACAUGCAAGUCGAACGAAGUCUUCGGACUUGGUGGCGGACGGGUGAGUAACACGUGGGAACGUGCCUUUAGGUUCGGAAUAACUCAGGGAAACUUGUGCUAAUACCGAAUGUGCCCUUCGGGGGAAAGAUUUAUCGCCUUUAGAGCGGCCCGCGUCUGAUUAGCUAGUUGGUGAGGUAAAGGCUCACCAAGGCGACGAUCAGUAGCUGGUCUGAGAGGAUGAUCAGCCACAUUGGGACUGAGACACGGCCCAAACUCCUACGGGAGGCAGCAGUGGGGAAUCUUGCGCAAUGGGCGGAAGCCUGACGCAGCCAUGCCGCGUGAAUGAUGAAGGUCUUAGGACUGUAAAAUUCUUUCACCGGGGACGAUAAUGACGGUACCCGGAGAAGAAGCCCCGGCUAACUUCGUGCCAGCAGCCGCCGUAA
rnacentral:rRNA from 1 species